GAUGAACGCUGGCGGCGUGCCUAAUACAUGCAAGUCGAGCGAACAGACGAGGAGCUUGCUCCUCUGACGUUAGCGGCGGACGGGUGAGUAACACGUGGAUAACCUACCUAUAAGACUUGGAUAACUUCGGGAAACCGUAGCUAAUACCGGAUAAUAUAUUUAACCGCAUGGUUCAAUAGUGAAAGACGGGUUUGCUGUCACUUAUAGAUGGAUCCGCGCCGCAUUAGCUAGUUGGUAAGGUAACGGCUUACCAAGGCAACGAUGCGUAGCCGACCUGAGAGCGUGAACGGCCCCACUGGAACUGAGAGACGGUCCAGACUCCUACGGGAGGCAGCAGUAGGGAAUCUUCCGAAAUGGGCGAAAGCCUGACGGAGCAACGCCGCGUGAGUGAUGAAGGUCUUCGGAUCGUAAAACUCUGUUAGUAGGGAAGAACAAAUGUGUAAGUAACUAUGCACGUCUUGACGGUACCUAAUCAGAAAGCCACGGCUAACUACGUG
rnacentral:rRNA from 1 species